rnacentral:rRNA from 1 species
CGGACGCAAGAUCAGGAGCUUGCUCCUGUGAUUUGAGCGGCGGACGGGUGAGUAACACGUAGGCAACCUACCCUUGAGAUUGGGAUAACUACCGGAAACAGUAAGCUAAUACCGGAUACGACCUUUCCACAUAAGUGGAAUUGUUAAAAGCGGAUUUAUCUGCCGCUCAUGGAUGGGCCUGCGGUGCAUUAGCUAGUUGGUGAGAUAGUAGCUCACCAAGGCGACGAUGCAUAGCCGACCUGAGAGGGUGAUCGGCCACACUGGGACUGAGACACGGCCCAGACUCCUACGGGAGGCAGCAGUAGGGAAUCUUCCGCAAUGGACGAAAGUCUGACGGAGCAACGCCGCGUGAGUGAUGAAGGGUUUCGGCUCGUAAAACUCUGUUGUUAAGGAAGAAUACUUGAGGUAGUAACUGGCCUUGAGGUGACGGUACUUAACCAGAAAGCCACGGCUAACUACGUGCCAGCAGCCGCGGUAAUACGUAGGUGGCAAGCGUUAUCCGGAAUUAUUGGGCGUAAAGCGCGCGUAGGCGGUAAAAUAAGU